UUCGUUUGGUGCUUUGGAGUUGCACGGGAACUUGAAGAAUGUGUCGUUGAAUUUGUUCAAGAGACGCUGAAUGAGUGUUCUCUUCGGAAGUUUAGUUUGUCGAUGCUUGGUAGUGAAUUCAAUGGUAAGCGACGUUGCACGCUGCAAAAUCAGGGACAAUCCCUAGAAGGCGAAACUUGCUUUCGACGGCCUUGAAGUUCCAGUUGGGUAAGAAACUAGUUUUUGGAAAACAGGUGCAUUUCAGAUAUGUUAUGUUAUUUGCUAAUUACGAUGAUUGGUAUUUCAGUCUUAAUUGGCGAAUGAUUUCAGAUUGUGCUUUAUUUGUGUAAUACUUUGAUUGAACAGCUGUGUGAUUGUUGAGGAUGGGCAUGUUAUUGCAGCAAGAAGAAACCCGACUAGUGAGACACGAAAUGCAACAAGACAUGUAGAGAUGGAAGCUCUUGAUAUUGUUCUUGAAUAGUGGCAAUGGACUGGAUUAUUGGCUGCAGAAGUUGCAGAAAAGUUUUCAGUAUGCUCUCUUUAUGGGACAUGUGAACCGCGCAUACUGAAAAUAAAUGGAGGAAUGGGAAUUCUUGAUCAAAGGGUUUCAAAUGUUGUGGAGGUAUAAUGGCAUCAGAAGCAAUUUCUUCUCCGUGAGAUUUUUAUGAACAAGGAAACCCUAAUGAUCGUUCGCUGUAGUGAAGAUAUGUUGUUGUAUCCUUACAUCCAAGAGAAAUGAAGCUGGCCCAGAGGAAUAUCAUGUAAUGACAGAGCGUUAAUGAAAUUGCAAGCAUCCAUAAAAAAUAAGGUGUUUAUCUUGAGAUGCUUCAAAGCCUCUCAGGUCACGGGUAAAUCAUGCUUCUCAUUAGAUCUGCCUGCAUUGAUUCAUCCUGUUGAACACUCUCAUGCCUUUGCACAACUAGAAUUUCGUCAAGGGAUCUGAGGAAGGAAGUGUGAUGCAUGUCCAUAUCAGUUUUUGCCAGGAUGUUCAUGUGUCUACAAAGGGUUGCAGAUGUGAUCACCAGUGAUUCCAUGCUUUAACUUGAUUAUCAGAUUGUUUAGAUAAUUUUACAGCAUAAACCUAUACACGCAUCAGUUUUCUGAGGUUAAUUUUUGUCUACAUAUUUUGCGAUGUAGUUUGAUAUGAGUUUUUUGAACUUUGAGGUAAUUCUUGGUGCACUAUUGAUCAUUUUGAGCUUUAUGGUUCUGGCCUAUGUCAUGUGUGAUCCGUGACAAUGAUUAUGGAUUUCUUGGGAAAGAAUUGCAUUGACUGGAUUUGAGCUUCCCAGUUAUAACAAUUAUGUCCUGAACUUGAACUGAAGAAGAAAUUCUUUCCCAGCGGCAGGGAAAAAAUUCAAGAAUUCUCUGUUCUUUCUUCAGCAUAAAUAGUUGAAUUUAUAGUAUUGAUGAGUCAAUUAAUGUCUUGAUCAUUGUUGACUGAGAAAAUCUCAGUGAUUUGAUAGGUCACGUGGAGACCGUGUUUAUCACGUGUGGCCCCACAAGUAUAUUAAAAUUUUCAUUAUUUGCUUGGUCCAGAGCCAAUUGGCAGUUGCUUCUUACCUCAACGUGCUUUCCUUAUUCUUCAAUCGGGUACAAGAUGCCUCUUUUCUUCUGAUGUCAGAAGAAUAG